rnacentral:rRNA from 1 species
AUUGAACGCUGGCGGCAUGGCUAAAACAUGCAAGUCCGGGAUAGCCUUCGGGUGAAACCGGCGGAAGGGCGAGUAAUGCGAUCGAACGUGCCCCGAGGUGGAGGAUAGCUGCGGGAAACUGCAGGUAAUACUCCAUGUGUUCCAAGGAAGAAAGCUUCGGCGCCUUGGGAGCGGCGAUCGUCCUAUCAGGUAGUUGGCGGGGUAAGAGCCCACCAAGCCGAAGACGGGUAGCGGGUGUGAGAGCACGGCCCGCCGCAUCGGGACUGAGACACUGCCCGGACUCCUACGGGAGGCUGCAGUAACGAAUAUUCCGCAAUGCGCGAAAGCGUGACGGAGCAAUGCCGCGUGCAGGAUGAAGCGGUUUCGCCGUGUAAACUGCUGUCAGGGACUAGAAAUACUGAUCAGUCCCAAAGGAAGAGACGGCUAACCCUGUGCCAGCAGCCGCGGUAAUACAGGGGUCUCGAGCGUUAAUCGGAAUCACUGGGCUUAAAGGGUGCGCAGGCGGAUCAGAGGGUGUACUGUGAAAGCCCCCGGCUCAACCGGGGAACUGCAGUGCAAACCGCUGGUCUUGAGGUGGGUAGGGGUCGUUGGAACGCUCGGUGGAGCGGUGAAAUGCGUAGAUAUCGAGCGGAACGCCGAAGGUGAAGACAAGCGACUGGGCCCAUUCUGACGCUCAUGCACGAAAGCGUGGGGAUCAAACAGGAUUAGAUACCCUGGUAGUCCACGCCUUAAACGAUGCGCACUGGAUCGGCGCGGGUUUGACCCCGUGUCGGUCGGAGAGAAAUUGUUAAGUGCGCCGCCUGGGAAGUACGGUCGCAAGGCUAAAACUCAAAGGAAUUGACGGGGGCUCACACAAGCGGUGGAGCAUGUUGCUUAAUUCGAAGCAACGCGAAGAACCUUACCUGGGCUUGACAUGUACGGAUUAACUUUAUGAAAGUAGAGCCACACCCUCGGGUGGAACGUACACAGGUGCUGCAUGGCUGUCGUCAGCUCGUGCUGUGAAGUGUCGGGUUAAGUCCCUUAACGAGCGCAACCCCUGUCGCUAGUUGCCAACGCGUAAUGGCGGGGACUCUAGCGAGACUGCCGGUGUCAAACCGGAGGAAGGUGGGGAUGACGUCAAGUCCUCAUGGCCCUUACGUCCAGGGAUGCAAACGUGCUACAAUGCCGUAUACAAAGCGAUGCAAGACCGCGAGGUGGAGCAAAUCGCAUAAAGUACGGCCCAGUUCGGAUUGGAGUCUGCAACCCGACUCCAUGAAGCCGGAAUCGCUAGUAAUCGCGGAUCAGCUAUGCCGCGGUGAAUACGUUCCUGAGCCUUGUACACACCGCCCGUCAAGUCAUGGGAGCCGGGAGUGCCCGAAGUCGCCAAAUUUCAUUGGUGCCCACGGCAAGCUCGGUGACUGGGACU